AUUGAACGCUGGCGGCAGGCCUAACACAUGCAAGUCGAGCGGAUGAAGGGAGCUUGCUCCUGGAUUCAGCGGCGGACGGGUGAGUAAUGCCUAGGAAUCUGCCUGGUAGUGGGGGAUAACGUCCGGAAACGGGCGCUAAUACCGCAUACGUCCUGAGGGAGAAAGUGGGGGAUCUUCGGACCUCACGCUAUCAGAUGAGCCUAGGUCGGAUUAGCUAGUUGGUGGGGUAAAGGCCCACCAAGGCGACGAUCCGUAACUGGUCUGAGAGGAUGAUCAGUCGCACUGGAACUGAGACACGGUCCAGACUCCUACGGGAGGCAGCAGUGGGGAAUAUUGGACAAUGGGCGAAAGCCUGAUCCAGCCAUGCCGCGUGUGUGAAGAAGGUCUUCGGAUUGUAAAGCACUUUAAGUUGGGAGGAAGGGCAGUAAGUUAAUACCUUGCUGUUUUGACGUUACCAACAGAAUAAGCACCGGCUAACUUCGUG
rnacentral:rRNA from 1 species